rnacentral:rRNA from 1 species
GACAGAGGGUGCAAACGUUGUUCGGAAUUACUGGGCGUAAAGCGCGUGUAGGCGGCCCUGCAAGUCGGAUGUGAAAUCCCUCGGCUCAACCGAGGAACUGCAUCCGAUACUGGCGGGCUUGAAUCCGGGAGAGGGAUGUGGAAUUCCAGGUGUAGCGGUGAAAUGCGUAGAUAUCUGGAGGAACACCGGUGGCGAAGGCGGCAUCCUGGACCGGUAUUGACGCUGAGGCGCGAAAGCUAGGGGAGCAAACGGG